UGAAACCGGUAUAAUUUAGAAAAAUACCGUGAUAUAAAUUGUUGGUCAUACCGCCCAGCACUAGUCUGAAGGGUUGAGAGACUUUAACUAACUGCAUGUUAUUUCCAGUGAGGUUAAAGUGAUGCAUUUCAAAGAGUUUUCAAUGUCACAUUCAUACAGUAUGUAGUUUAAUCGCAUGCAACUUCAAUUAACAGCUCAAACAUGAAGAACAGCAGAAUUCUGCCUCGAGCUCCGACAGGAACCGAAGAGUUUGUGUUUGGCUUUGAAGACUAAUUGGCGCUCUGGAUGAGUUUCCUCGGAGCUUGAAGCGUUGCAUCUCCUGAAGUGAAUCCUGACUCUGGCUGCUCUGUUCGUUAGCCUGUGUGCGCGAGGUAACCUUCCUUUGCUCUCCUGUUCACUUCUUAAACUCAGAUUCAGUUGCUCUGACAGCACAGCGCAGAUCUCACAGUCCUCUCAGAAGCGUCUGCAUGGUGUCGUAGAUCCUCAGACGGACGUCAGACACUCAGAGUUAAACUCCCACUCAUUUCUCCCCAUGCAUUGCCAACCAUUCUAGAAAGACUUUACAUUUAGGCUCUGAUCACCAACACAUUCACUUUCACCAAUGUAGCUCAAUUUGAGAAACGCCAGAUUAGUUCCCAGAGCAAAGACACUGUAGUUAGUUCUGUGUUCAUAUCUGUGAUUCCUGCGGUCGAGUGUUUAAUGUUCGUUCUUUGGUUUUGUUCAGGUUGAGUUCCCGUCGGAAACCGUCGGGGGUUUGAAGAAGGUCGAGGCCUGAUGAACCGUGUUUGUUCCUCUGAAGGGUAAAGCGUGAGAUGAUGAAAGCUUGAUGGAGGUUCACGAACAUCAGAUGGUCAUUUUAUGACCCGCAACUGUUGAAAACCCUUUAACACCUUUGGUUUUCCUGCUCAAAAAUGAUUGUAAAUCUCAUGAUGCUGUAUUAUCACCAAAUACUGGCCUGUUUUCUUUCAGCGAGCGCAGGUUUUGUUUUCUCUUCUGGAACUGUUUGAUCACAGGCCACAGUAACCUUCUUUAGUUAAUGUUACUUAAUGUGCAAUACAUUUGUUACAGUAUUUAUGUUAAUAAAAAUCCACCUGUUCUUUGUCAACGUUAGCUCCGUUUUAUUAAAUGAUCUUAACAGAUGCAAGAUUUGAUUUUAAAAAUGCAUUAGUACAUGUUGAAAUUAACAUUGAUUGAUUAAUGCUUUAGAUUUCAUGUGAACUAAUGUGGCUAACUAAUGAAGUUUUUCUCAAGUUUCACUGAUCUGGUUGUGGAUAAUUUUGACAUUUAUUAAAAUAUGAAAAA